rnacentral:rRNA from 1 species
GAUGAACGCUGGCGGCGUGCCUAAUACAUGCAAGUCGAGCGAACGGACGAGAAGCUUGCUUCUCUGAUGUUAGCGGCGGACGGGUGAGUGACACGUGGAUAACCUACCUAUAAGACUGGGAUAACUUCGGGAAACCGUAGCUAAUACCGGAUAAUAUUUUGAACCGCAUGGUUCAAAAGUGAAAGACGGUCUUGCUGUCACUUAUAGAUGGAUCCGCGCUGCAUUAGAUAGUUGGUAAGGUAACGGCUUACCAAGGCAACGAUGCAUAGCCGACCUGAGAGGGUGAUCGGCCACACUGGAACUGAGACACGGUCCAGACUCCUACGGGAGGCAGCAGUAGGGAAUCUUCCGCAAUGGGCGAAAGCCUGACGGAGCAACGCCGCGUGAGUGAUGAAGGUCUUCGGAUCGUAAAACUCUGUUAUUAGGGAAGAACAUAUGUGUAAGUAACUGUGCACAUCUUGACGGUACCUAAUCAGAAAGCCACGGCUAACUACGUG